ACUGCCAUGAGAAAGUGGUUAGCUGGUCACAUAGUGCGGAAUGCAAAAUCGUGUUCCACCCCAAGCCGUGAUGUGUCAGUCGGUCAGAGCGCGUUUCUUCUUGUAAGUUUCAAACUCAUGAUUCUUUUGUCACCAAAAAGUCCUUUCUCAGUCUUGUUUUUGUUGUGUUAGAGCUGAAGUUGUCAAAAGCUAAAAAUAUUUUUUUUUUGACAAGCAGGUGCUUUUCGUGAAACCAAGCCAUAUCCUACUGUCGACGACAAAGAAAAUAAAAGGGAGAACGAACUGGUAAAAAGCGAGCCUGCUGUCUCUUUUUUUUUUUUAGUGCCACAGAACUAAAUAUUCCGUGGAUUGUGAAAUAUCAGUCAAAAUACACGACAACGACUGGCAAUAUGGGGAACGGUGAUUUGAAAACAGCUGGCACUGACUGAUAGAAGCUUCAAUUGCAAUUAACACACAGGUAUGAUGUGGACAUGAGAUUGAAUCUGACCUCUGGCGCUUUUCUUCCCAGCAGCAGAUAAGUGGCCAUGACAUCAUCGUACUUCUGGUUUUGUAAGGACUCCGUGAUCUCAUCUUUAGGGAAACCCAUUGUCACCAUGAGUUCUGUCGGGAACAGGAAAUUUGACGACGUUACUCUCGUCAGGAGACCCUUGACGAUGACCUCGACGUACGCCGAAAGGCACCUAUUCUGGUCGAGUCGUUGAAGUCGGCCUCGGGCUCGAUGUACGGCUUCAGCUCCUCCUCCUCGUGACCCACAUUCAUCCAGUGGUCUUUCAUGAUUUGCUAAUAAAGACAAUUCAAAUGUUUUGUUCACUCGUGGCGGCUUCUCGUGACACAUAUGCAUGACCCCCCGUGGGCUGUGUGCAACACUAUUUUGAAACAUUCUAAUAACGAGCGGCGCCGAAUAACAAACGGAUCAAUUGUUAUUAGGUGCCUCGGUGUGCUUUGUGGAGCAAGUUCAGCGGCGGUAUCGACUGUGAAUUGACAACAGAAGAGUGUGUCGUAAUGAUUCAGUGACGUUUACCCACGCACACAAACACAAUGGACACGCUCCAAGUCCCGAAGACUUCUUAUCUGAAUCCUCACCCCCAAAAAAUAAAUAAAACAUAGCGAAUCAGCAUAGCGUGAAAGGUAACAAUCCAAAAAUUACCUCCAAACUGCCACGUUUGACCGGGUUGAGCACCAGUAGUUUUUUCAGCAGGUUUUCACAGUCUGUGGACAUGUAAAAGGGGAUACGGUACUUCCCCCGCAGGACGCGCUCUCUCAG